AUCUCUCUAACGUCACGAUAAGUACGCAGUAGUUUCGGUUUUUUGUGCAAAACAUUUCCAUUAAAAUGGGGAGAAUUGCCACCCGUGACAGUUGAGGACUUCAACAAUCGCAUAACCCAACAAAGAGUCCUCCUUCCCAGGAAUCGACCCUUUAUUGGAACGCUUGUCGGAAACAGUUCUCGUCACAAAAUGUCUAAACAGUAAAAACUACAAGGAGAACCUGGAGCGCUUUAACAAAGAGAACGUGCACGGUAAGGAACUGACCACCAAGAGCAUUGUAAAGCCCAAGCGCGUGACAAUGCAAGAGGAGAAAGCUGUGCAAGAGGUUGACUCGGAUGAGUGAGAGGAGAUAGGCGAGAACCAUAUUUCAUUGAAUGACUGCAUCGUCUGCGACGUCAGUGAAAAUUUUGUGAGCAACAUAAAGCACCUGUCCGUAGCACAUUCCUAUUUCGUUCCCGACGUGGAAUACUGCGUCGACCUCGAAGGUCUGAUGUUCUACUUGGGAGGAAGCUCAACGGCCGUUGACAGAAGUCUUCCAAGAACUAGUGGCUCGAAAAUACAAUGAUCACAGUGAAUUUUGUAGUGACUUAAGCAUAUUUUUUUCAAAUAAAUUGAAUUUGUGUCCCAAAAAUUCCAUAUACAUCAAUAUUUCAAUUCGAAUGAAUUUUGGAUAGAAAAAGGUGAAUACCGGCAUUUCAAAAUUUCUUUGUUUUUACUAGAACCGUUUAUCAUGGAAUUCCAAUUACUUACGUUUAAAGAAGUUUCUUUGUCUCCCGAAUUUCCGCUUCUUGCAUUCGUUUGUUAUCAGGUGGAUCCCAGUGGAUUUUUUUGGCAGGCAGAUAGUUGAAAAACGUUGGGAUUCUGAAAGAAAGUUGGCGAGCGAGGGGAUGGAUGUCGUGAAGGCGUAGUCGGAAAGUCGGGGAAUUAGUUUUAUGAGCUAGCGGUGGUUAGUUUUCGAUGUUGUAACGAAGAGCCAUCUUUUCCAUUCUAUAAUUAUCAAUAUGGGUUCUAAAACGACGUUAGUCAAGUUUUUGGGAAAUUUGUACAUGGAUGUGAGGCGGCGGGAUGAAUAGCGAAAGAAAACAUAGUCUGCCAAGAGGACGUGAUUAACGAUGGCAAAAUGUUUGUCAAAGGGGAGCUUGCUUUGCUGCCGCUGACGUGAAUUACCUCAAUUUCUCGCUGGAAAAAUCUUGUAGUGAUUUUAUGGUGAAGU